AUUGCUUCUUGGCCUUUUGGCUAAGACCAAGUGUAGUAUCUUUUCUUAUCAGUUUAAUAUUUGAUACAUCCUCUAUCCGAAGACAAUAUAUUAAAUGGAUUUUUGGAACUAGGAAUUGGAAUAGGAGCUUGCUCUGUCCACUCCGUGCAUCAACCUGGUAUUGCAGUACCUCCAGGAAUGGUGCACAAAAC
rnacentral:snRNA from 1 species